rnacentral:rRNA from 1 species
GACGAACGCUGGCGGCGUGCUUAACACAUGCAAGUCGAACGGUGAACCUCUUCGGAGGGGAUCAGUGGCGAACGGGUGAGUAACACGUGGGCAACCUGCCCCCGGCUCUGGGAUAACUCCAAGAAAUUGAGGCUAAUACCGGAUGUUCACCGCUUCCCGCAUGGGUGGUGGUGGAAAGGGUUUCCGGCUGGGGAUGGGCCCGCGGCCUAUCAGCUUGUUGGUGGGGUAGUGGCCUACCAAGGCGACGACGGGUAGCCGGCCUGAGAGGGUGACCGGCCACACUGGGACUGAGACACGGCCCAGACUCCUACGGGAGGCAGCAGUGGGGAAUAUUGCGCAAUGGGCGGAAGCCUGACGCAGCGACGCCGCGUGGGGGAUGACGGCCUUCGGGUUGUAAACCUCUUUCAGCAGGGACGAAGCGCAAGUGACGGUACCUGCAGAAGAAGCACCGGCCAACUACGUG